UUUUGUUGUUGGUUGUUUGUAUAGAUGAGCUCAACAAGGCACCAAAGGGCAGGCUAGAAUAUACGAGAAGCGGCAAGCAUGUCUUUUUUGUGGCAGUAUGGUUUCCAAGGCAGCCAGGCACAUGAAAGAUGUGCACGCUGUGCGUCUGAAAAUACGUAAGCCAUGGACAGGAGAAGAGAAACAGGCGAUCUACCAGCACCUCGGGGGACACAUACGGAAAAAUCAACUGCCAGCCAGGCACAUGAAAGAUAUGCACGCUGAUGAGUCUGAGGUAAAACAUGCCAAGGCCAAGGAGCCCAAGUCAACUAACAGGCGACCUACUGUUGAAUUUGAGAGGCUCCGUUUGAAAGGGAAUUUCUACCAUAAUAUGGAGGUGCUGUCAACUGGUGUGGGUCAGAUCAUCGUUGCCAGAAAUCCUCCCUUCGGUCAAGAGGUCCAAUCUUCAGAUAACCUGCCAUGCCCAUUUUGCAUGUUCCGUCGGCAAUGGUCCAUCAUCAGAUAUCCAUGGUGGUAAGGGGUGACAAGUUAAUACUGGCCUUCGGUAGGAAUCUGAUGGCAAAGGUUUGACCUGGGAAAGCUCAACUCGACCUGGUACAGAUAAGGGGAAAGAGAGGUCGCGCAGUGCCUGUGCUUCUGACCAGUGGAAGUCUUGAUGGAAAACCGUGAAGCAGUUGGGGCGCAUAAUGCGAAUCCCUAUAUAUUUGCUCGCCCCCGAAACUCCUUGAAACAAGUGAGAGGAUGGGAUUGCCUAACUGCUGUUGCCAAGCAGGCUAAUCUGCAAGAGCCUCCUGCAGAAACGAGCACAAAGCUGAGAAAGUAUGUUGCAACGGUGUCUCAGAUUAUAGACCUAAACAGCAAUGCGCUCGACUGGCUAGCAAGGCACCUGUGCCACGACAUAACUGUCCACAGGGACUUCUACCGCCAACACGAGUCGACACUAGAGCUUGCGAAAGUCAGCAAGCUACUUCUUGCUGUAGACAAAGGCAAGAUAGCAAAACUGUCUGGCCGAAAACUUGAUGAUAUUGAUUUGGAAGGUGUUUUGGCUGAUGAAUCAUCAAGUGAAGAGGAGGAUGCAGACCCGUCAUCAGGUGGCAGGAAGCUGGGCGCCCAGCAGAUCCUUGUGCUUAUUCAAAUAGCCCCUUCAUGAAUGUGACGUUACCGCAAGACAGGUGCAGUGCGCAAAUUCCUUGCGCGCUUUGUCACGUAACUCUUUGUGACGCCAUUUCUUAUAAACGCCAAGUUGCCUAUUCAACUUCAUUCUCGGUUGAGCAACCUUAUCUCGCUGACAUGCGCAUUUUGUUCUCCGUGCAAUAUGAAUCCUAACCUGAUAAUGCAAAUCAAGAGAUACUAUCGGCCAUCAGAUCGUUGGCUAACUCGAUAGACAGUAAAGUAGAUUCAGCCUUUAAGAGGCAGCGUACCCUUGCCCGACAGUCCACCAGACUUUAAAAGCGACGGUAACAAGGACCAGUUUCGCCACGAAGAAAAGCUCUCCAGCCUAAUUGACUCGGCCUUAGCAUCGUUAGACGCCGGAGACGUCAACGCAGCCAGAGAGGCCCUCAAGCAAGCCAGCAUUGAAAUCAAACAGCGGCAGAAGCUGAUCAGGUUGGCCGAUCGUUCUUCCCAAGGUUGGGCCACGGUUAAAGAAUACGUCACCGACAAUUAAGCCGACGACUCGGACGAUGAGAAACGACUCAGAAAGGCGGAGAAAAUGGCGACCAGCAAGAAAUCAGAAGCCGCUAAGAAGUCCAAGGCCAAGGCUCGCAAUCCUGUACGUCCUUACCCUGCUGCGAGUUCUUUUCGUACCUACAGCCGGUACACAUAUCGUCAAGAUUUCCGGUCCUGUUUCCAGUGCGGAAUCGCAGGACAUAUCCGAUCCAACUGCCCCUCUCUUCGGGCCCUCCAACAGCCUCAGUGCCGGUCACAACCUUCAGCCACUGAUACCACCACAGCAUAGGGACUGGGAAGAGCAGGACUCAACUACUCCUGUCCCAUCCGGUGUAAAGGAUGUUUGCAAAGACCCGUCAUCAGGUGGCAGGAAGCUGGGCGCCCAGCAGUGCGUCUGAAAAUACGUAAGCCAUGGACAAGGAGAAGAGAAACAGGCGAUCUACCAGCACCUCGGGGGACACAUACGGAAAAAUCAACUGCCAGGUAAAGCAGUCUGCGAAAGUGUGAUAGCAGCACAUCCCCGAACAUCCCCGAGAUUUUUUUUUUAAUAUUUUUUUUUAUACACUUUCCAAUGGCCUCCUGUGAAUGUGAUAAAAUCUGAUGCCCCAGUAUGAGUUUUCUUUUACUUUGUGGAUCAUUCAUAAGAGAAGAAUGAGUAGUUACUGGUCUUUUUAAGUCUCCAGUUGGAGGUUUAGUGAUUUGUGACAAGAAACUUGAUAGGUUUAUGCUUUUUCGAUCAGUCUUAAGAGAGGAAUUUUUUAAGUAGUGCCUGAUCUCUCUAAGUCUGCAGAUGGAGAUUUAUGUAGGUGCGACAACUCCGAUACCCCGAGAACAUGAGUUUUCUUUUACUUUUGGAUCAUUCAUAAGAGAAGAACAAGUAGUAUGGUCUAUCUAAUUCUGUGAUUGGUUUAUUGGAAGUAGCUAACUGCCUUGUCCCUACAUUUAAGUCUAUAGUUGAAGUUUCAACUAAUAUCUGAUAGCCAGGAAUGUGAUAUCUUUUUUGGGACUUUUUGAUCACUCAUCAUAAGAGAAGAACCUGAGGAGUAGCUAAUGGCCUGCUGAGUCUGCUCUUGAAGGUUAUUAUUGAUUAAUGACAGAAAUCUUGAAUGCCCAGAACUUGAUUUGCUUUUUGACUGUUUGGAUCAAUCAUAAGAGAGUAGUGCUUCUUGUUCCCUCUAAUUCUUCGGUUUGAGAUUAAGUGAUGUGUGAUCAUCUGAUUCCCCAGAACAUGAGUUUUCAUAAAAGAAAAAUAUUCCGCUUGGAAGUCUUUUGAUUUGUGACAUGUUUUGAUGGCCCAGAACUUGAAUUUGUCCUUUCUUUUAUAUCAUAAAUACGAGAAGAAACGUAUUGUUAGGUAACAGUUUCGUCUCGACAUGUAAGUUUAUUGUUCUAUAGUUGGCGUUCAACUGAUAGCUUAGAAAUCUGAUAGCCAGGGACAUGAUUGGUUUUGGACUUUUUGGAUCAAUCUUAGGAGAACCGUAUGAGUAGCUAAUAACCUGUUAAGUAUGUAGUUGGAGGUUUAGUGAUUUGUGAUACAAAUUUUAAUAACCCAGAACUUGAUUUGCUUUGUGACUGUUUCAACCAAUCAUAAGAGAGGAAUCUUAUGAGUAGUGCCUGGUGUUCUAAGACUGCAGUUGGAGAUUUAGUGAUGUGUGACAAAUAUCCUGAUACAUAAUAGCCAAGAACAUGAUUCACUUACACUUUAUCAAUCACAAGAGAAGAAUGAGUAGUUGUUGUCAUUUUCUCCAAGUAUUUGGGUGAUAUGUGAAAGAUCUCAUUAUAGCCAAAACUUGAUUUCUUUCUUUUUUGCAGUACUCGGACGUAUUUGAGUAGGGCUGUGAAAUUGUUUGAGAAAUUUGUUAAUAACUAUUGUUGCAGAUUUUUCUUUGAAUUGCUCAUAAACGAAAUAUCUUCAAUUUAACGCCUGGUUCAUUCGAUUUAGGUUGAAAUUGAAGAUCACGCAGAUCGGCAUUCGACAAUCAAAAUGAUUCAUUCUAUUUCACUAUACAAGCAUUCUAACGCAUUUUAGCUUCACUCGUCCCUAUCAAAGAUGCAUUCAUAUUAAAAGUAUCGAGUUGUUCAUUCAAUUUCAUCUAAACCAUUAGUAAGGAGUUGAUCGGGCAUUCGUUUUCAUUAAUGGGCAAACAUAUUUCACAUUUUGUCAAACAUCUUUUAAGACUUCAUACGUGUCUGUAUUCCUAAGCUUAAAUCAUUUGAUGACUUCAAACCGUAGACUGACUUUCUUU